AAUACCUAUCACUGUGAGGCAGCUGGAAGCUGUAGUGAGGUUGAGUGAAGCACUUGCAAGAAUGAGGCUAUUAUUUCCGUCAAAGUCAUUCACAAUAAGCAGACUGGUCAGUCAGAGUGAUAUGGAUUUGUGGAAUUUAGUUCUCAUGCAGCAGUUGACAAAGUCCUUCAGAGCUACAAUGGUUCACCAAUGCCAAAUACAGAACAAGUCUUCCACCUUAACUAGGCAGCCUUUAGCAUGGAUAAUAGUCUUCCUUAUUUUAUCCUUGUUGAGUAAGGACAGACGUAUUUCAUUGUGUAAGCAUUUGGAAGUAAAAAUUUGUUUUGUAAUGUUCUUUAUUCUUUCUGUAAACAUGAAAGUAAAAAUAAACUUCAUUGUUUAUAAAUAAUGUUAUCAAUAUUUCGCAGAUGUGUUAAUGUUAUAUAACCCUGCGCUUGUGAUAAAGAGGCCAUUGUUUUGUCCUCCUGUUUUGUCAUGUAAUAUUUUCUUGUCCUGUAAGGAUAUGGAUGGAUGUGGCUCUUUAUUUAUGUAGCUUCAUAUGAUUA